rnacentral:rRNA from 1 species
GACGGAGGUUGCAAGUGUUAUCCGGAAUCACUGGGCGUAAAGCGUCUGUAGGCGGUUUAAUAAGUCAACUGUUAAAUCUUGAGGCUCAACCUCAAAAUCGCAGUCGAAACUAUUAGGCUAGAGUAUAGUAGGGGUAAAGGGAAUUUCCAGUGGAGCGGUGAAAUGCGUAGAGAUUGGAAAGAACACCGAUGGCGAAGGCACUUUACUGGGCUAUUACUAACACUCAGAGACGAAAGCUAGGGUAGCAAAUGGG